rnacentral:rRNA from 1 species
CGGACGGGUGAGUAACACGUGGAUAACCUACCUAUAAGACUGGGAUAACUUCGGGAAACCGGAGCUAAUACAGGAUAAUAUUUUAAACCGCAUGGUUCAAAAGUGAAAGACGGUCUUGCUGUCACUUAUAGAUGGAUCCGCGCUGCAUUAGCUAGUUGGUAAGGUAACGGCUUACCAAGGCAACGAUGCAUAGCCGACCUGAGAGGGUGAUCGGCCACACUGGAACUGAGACACGGUCCAG